rnacentral:rRNA from 1 species
UGAGGAAUAUUGGACAAUGGGCGCAAGCCUGAUCCAGCCAUGCCGCGUGCAGGAAGAAGCAUCUAUGGUGUGUAAACUGCUUUUGUACGGGAAGAAACACUCCUUCGUGAAGGAGCUUGACGGUACCGUAAGAAUAAGGAUCGGCUAACUCCGUGCCAGCAGCCGCGGUAAUACGGAGUAUCCAAGCGUUAUCCGGAAUCAUUGGGUUUAAAGGGUCCGUAGGCGGUUUAGUAAGUCAGUGGUGAAAGCCCAUCGCUCAACGAUGGAACGGCCAUUGAUACUGCUAGACUUGAAUUAGUAGGAAGUAACUAGAGUAUGUGGUGUAGCGGUGAAAUGCUUAGAUAUUACAUGGAAUACAAAUUGCGAAGGCAGGUUACUACUAGUGGAUUGACGCUGAUGGACGAAAGCGUGGGGAGCGAACA